AUUCACACAACUCCUGUCUUUUGAUGGAGAGGGAGCAGGGUAUGCGUCCCUGUUACAGCAAAUUUGCCAAGACAUGGCAUUCAGGAAAGACAGGGUAACAAAAUCACUUAGAGAAGCAGGGUCCACGGCUAAGGCUGAAGGGUCCUUCCUGGGGAGGGGCUGCGGUGGGCGAGUCCGGUGCCCAGGACGCAAAGCGAAGGGGCUUCUGGGAGCCGCCCCGCCCCCGGAGGAGGCCGGCAUCCUGCCUCCCCUCUGCCCAGUCCGGGCCACUCUGGGGUCGCUGGUCAAGGGUGGAUGGGACCCUCACAGCCAGGCCUGGAAGCCCGUUUGGGUCCCUCAUGCUGUGAAACCCGGCACGCUGAACAAAACCUUCCAGCGUGAAGAUAGAAAAGGUCGUUUCCAGAUGGAAAAUAAAAGCGCAGAAUAUACGCGCCCUCUUGUGGACAGAACCAGCACUACCGCGUCAGGAGAGCUUGCCCACCUCCCAGCAGGACCCAAAUCACAGCGUCUUCAUUGACUCCUGGAUUCAUGGCAAGAGUCAGCUGUCCAGAGAGAGGAGAGAUUGUGUCGUUUUAUGAGGCUUCCUGAGUUACUGUGGGGCGGCUGCUCACCGUCCUGACUGUAAGAGAAGCUGAAUCCCCCCGUCCUGAAGCUGUCCUCGGAGCCCGAGUCCUCCGUCAUGGGGAUUAGGCUCCGAAGCCCCUUCUCUGAAAGGAGCCUCUCACCCAUCCCUUACCCGGCUUGGCCUCCGUCGGGGGAGGGGGUGGCAAGGCCUUUGGGGACACAGGUGCUUGCAGAAGGUGUAACGGGGCGCAGGGGGGGGGAUGGAGAAGAAGACAAACCCGGUACCCUCCUUCAUGGUGCCACCCAGGGUCAAAGGCAACAGGGAGGCUGGACCCCCGUUUUCUUGCUCCUGUAUGUGCUCUUUCUUUCUCUCCCGGGCUUUACCAGGACUCAGAAGCCUUUUUCCUGUCCAGCUGCAGUGACUUCGUACCGUCACUACUUUGUAAACACAAAAGCAGAUCUGUCCCCGGUAGGCACGCCUGACCGUUGUCCAGGCCCUCGGUGUUCUAGGGACUUAGGGCUGUGUUGCGACACCACACUGCAUCUCAGAGAAAAAUGUGCCUUUCCUUGAAGGGUUUGCACCCACAUUCCCUGCUUAAACGAGACGUACUUUCCAGUUAAUGAAAGCUCUACCUGCCAAGGCAGCCAAUCUGGCUAGCAUUAAAGGGAGGCAACAAUUGACACAAAAAAUGUGUGAUCUUGUUAAAGCCUAAAUCAAAAAAAACAAAAACAGAAAACAAAAAACAAAAAAGGUGAAAGCAAGAUGUUUUUAUUUACUGAGCAAGAGGCUGGAAGAAAAUUGUCGUAACUACUACCUUACCAUAUUCUAAUACCCUUUUAAUAAUGUUUCCCACAGUGACUGCAGUGGAGCUGUAAAAAUAACUUUAAAUUCCAAUGUCAAGUGGACCAUGAAGAUUUGGUUUCAUUUUCUAAACUGCUCUGUUGAGAAAUACGCCCUAAAAAAGCAAUUCUCAUUUUACUCCAUUAUAGGUCCAACAGCUGCAGGAUGAAUUAUAAAAUGUAUUCCACCCAAUCUGAAAUUUAGAAUUUUGAUCUCUGAGGAAAGCACUUCUGAAGAAUCUCACACAUGCUAGAAAAAGGAUUUAGAACUUUGAUAAGCCUUCACAAAGAGAGCAGCACUGUGAAAUUUUAACAAAAGGCACUUUUUUUUUUCCCCAAGAAUGCCUCAGAUCUAUCCUGUACAAUUUAAUACUUUAUAUACUAUAUUGUAGGUGGACUUGUAAUCCUUUAUGCCUGAGUUUUACACUCCCUGGACAUACUGUCAAAAAGAUAUUUUACACAAAGGCAAACAUUUGUUCCCGAAUAAGGAAAUGUUGCCUACACACACCGCAUAGUCAUGGAUACUUGUUUUCUGGCAGUUCGACCAUAACAACCAUGCUUUCAAACGCGCUGUACCUCUCUGAUGCUACACACAGCUCUUUGAGAGCUUACCGUUUACAGGGACCCAGCGCCUUGGGGGAUUUUCAGAGCCUACCCCAGGGGACAUCACAGCUGGCCAGGGAAUUCAGAGGGGCCUCCAGCACCCCCGUCUGUCCGGGUGGGCAGGGGGCGCUCCAUUCAGCUCCGCAGAGCCGGGGUCCCCCUGGCAGACGGCCACUGCCAGGCCUCAUCGUCAGUCUCUAUGGCGGGAACUCAUCAUCGCGCCAUCUUUUUUGAAAAAAAGUUACAACGCGGGGAUUCAGUGUCUGUUUCUCUGUAACCGUUAUGAUUCUGAUAUUUGCACUCGGGAAGAAUAUACUUAACUCUCAUAUUAGUAAAAAA